UACGAAGGGGGCUAGCGUUGCUCGGAAUUACUGGGCGUAAAGCGCACGUAGGCGGUCUUUUAAGUCGGGGGUGAAAUCCUGGAGCCCAACUCCAGAACUGCCUUCGAUACUGGAAGACUUGAGUCCGGGAGAGGUGAGUGGAACUGCGAGUGUAGAGGUGAAAUUCGUAGAUAUUCGCAAGAACACCAGUGGCGAAGGCGGCUCACUGGCCCGGUACUGACGCUGAGGUGCGAAAGCGUGGGGAGCAAACAGG
rnacentral:rRNA from 1 species